rnacentral:rRNA from 1 species
UACGUAGGGUCCAAGCGUUGUCCGGAUUUAUUGGGCGUAAAGAGCUCGUAGGCGGUCUGUUACGUCUGCUGUGAAAACCCAGGGCUUAACCCUGGGCUUGCAUUCGAUACGGGCAGGCUAGAGUUCGGUAGGGGAGACUGGAAUUCCUGGUGUAGCGGUGAAAUGCGCAGAUAUCAGGAGGAACACCGAUGGCGAAGGCAGGUCUCUGGGCCGAUACUGACGCUGAGGAGCGAAAGCGUGGGGAGCGAACAGG